rnacentral:rRNA from 1 species
CAAGCUGGAAAAGGGCGUAUGGGGAAUGCCUAGGCUCUCAGAGGCGAAGAAGGACGUGAUAAGCUGCGAAAAGCUGCGGGGAUCGGCACACACGAUAUGAUCCGUAGAUAUCCGAAUGGGGCAACCCGUUAUAUUGAAGGUAUAACAUCCGCAAGGAGGCAAACCCGGGGAACUGAAACAUCUAAGUACCCGGAGGAGGAGAAAACAAAAGUGAUUCCGAUAGUAGCGGCGAGCGAAAUCGGAUUAGUCCAAACCGUACAUGUUCCGGCAUGUGCGGGGUUGUAGGACCACGACAUUCGAGAUGUGAUGAACUAGAACGCUUUGGAAAUAGCGGCCAUAGAGGGUGAUAGUCCCGUAUAGGCAAAGAGCAUUUAGAUAGUGGUAUCCUGAGUAGUGCGGGGCACGUGAAACCCUGUAUGAAUCCGGCGGGACCAUCCGCCAAGACUAAAUACUCCUGAGAGACCGAUAGUGAACCAGUACCGUGAGGGAAAGGUGAAAAGAACCGUGAAUAACGGAGUGAAAUAGAUCCUGAAACCAUACGCUUACAAGCGGUCGGAGCCCAUAUGGGUGACGGCGUGCCUUUUGCAUAAUGAGCCUACGAGUUACUUUUACUGGCAAGGUUAAGUUCUUCAGGAACGGAGCCGUAGCGAAAGCGAGUCUUAAUAGGGCGCCAUAGUCAGUAGUAGUAGACGCGAAACCGUGCGAUCUACCCAUGGGCAGGUUGAAGCUGUGGUAACACAUAGUGGAGGACCGAACCCGUUGACGUUGAAAAGUCUUGGGAUGACCUGUGGGUAGGGGUGAAAGGCCAAUCAAGCUCGGAAAUAGCUCGUACUCCCCGAAAUGCAUUUAGGUGCAGCGUGUAGAUAGUUUUAUAGAGGUAGAGCUACUGAUUGGAUGCGGGGGCUUCACCGCCUACCAAUUCCUGACAAACUCCGAAUGCUAUAAAAUGUUUCUGCGCAGUGAGGGCAUGGGUGCUAAGGUCCAUGUCCGAGAGGGAAAGAACCCAGAUCACCGGCUAAGGUCCCAAAGUAUAUGCUAAGUUGAUAUAACGCGGUGGAACUGCAUUGACAGCCAGGAUGUUGGCUUGGAAGCAGCCAUUCAUUUAAAGAGUGCGUAACAGCUCACUGGUCGAGCGGUUCCGCAUGGAUAAUAAUCGGGCAUAAGCAUAUCACCGAAGCCGUGACUUUGUAUUUAUACAAGGGGUAGGGGAGCAUUGUAACUGCGUCGAAGGCGUACCUGCGAGGGAUGCUGGAGCGGUUACAAACGAAAAUGUAGGCAUAAGUAACGAUAAUGCGGGCGAGAAACCCGCACGCCGAAAGACCAAGGUUUCCCCAGCUAUGCUAAUCAGCUGGGGGUCAGUCGGGACCUAACGCGAACCCGAAGGGGAUAGUGGAUGGACAACAGAUUAAUAUUUCUGUACCUGCUCACGCUAAAAGUGACGGAGGCGAGAAGUUGGUGCGUACAGACGGAAUUGUACGUUGAAGGGAGUAGUAAUACCCCGAUAGUACACCGAGGCCACGGCCAAGGUGAUAAUCCAGCAUAUCGACUUCCAAGAAAAGCGAGUGAAGCAGCCCGUACCGUAAACCGACACAGGUGGUUGGGAUGAGUAUUCUAAGGCGCUCGAGAGAUUCAUGGCUAAGGAACUAGGCAAAAUAGACCCGUAACUUCGGGAGAAGGGUCGCCCCCUUAUGGGGGGCCGCAGUGAAGAGGUCCAGGCGACUGUUUAUCAAAAACACAGGGCUCUGCAAAAUCGAAAGAUGACGUAUAGGGCCUGACACCUGCCCGGUGCUGGAAGGUUAAGAGGAGAUGUCAUUCCUUCGGGGAGAAGCAUUGAAUUGAAGCCCCAGUAAACGGCGGCCGUAACUAUAACGGUCCUAAGGUAGCGAAAUUCCUUGUCGGGUAAGUUCCGACCUGCACGAAUGGUGCAACGAUCUGGACACUGUCUCGGCCAUGAGCUCGGUGAAAUUGUAGUAUCGGUGAAGAUGCCGGUUACCCGCAGUGGGACGAAAAGACCCCGUGCACCUUUACUAUAGCUUCGUAUUGACCUUGGUCAAGCAAUGUGUAGGAUAGCUGGGA